AGGACGAACGCUGGCGGCGUGCUUAACACAUGCAAGUCGAGCGGAAAGGCCCUUUUGGGGGUACUCGAGCGGCGAACGGGUGAGUAACACGUGAGUAACCUGCCCUGGACUUUGGGAUAACCCUCGGAAACGGGGGCUAAUACCGGAUAUGACUUGGCCUCGCAUGGGGUUGGGUGGAAAGUUUUUCGGUCUGGGAUGGGCUCGCGGCCUAUCAGUUUGUUGGUGGGGUGAUGGCCUACCAAGGCGACGACGGGUAG
rnacentral:rRNA from 1 species